AGGACGAACGCUGGCGGCGUGCUUAACACAUGCAAGUCGAGCGGUAAGGCCUUUCGGGGUACACGAGCGGCGAACGGGUGAGUAACACGUGGGUGAUCUGCCCUGCACUUCGGGAUAAGCCUGGGAAACUGGGUCUAAUACCGGAUAUGACCUCCUAUCGCAUGGUGGGUGGUGGAAAGAUUUAUCGGUGCAGGAUGGGCCCGCGGCCUAUCAGCUUGUUGGUGGGGUAAUGGCCUACCAAGGCGACGACGGGUAGCCGACCUGAGAGGGUGACCGGCCACGCUGGGACUGAGACACGGCCCAGACUCCUACGGGAGGCAGCAGUGGGGAAUAUUGGACAAUGGGCGAAAGCCUGAUCCAGCAAUGCCGCGUGAGUGAUGAAGGCCUUAGGGUUGUAAAGUCUCUUUUACCCGGAUGAUAAUGACAGUACCGGAGAAUAAGCUCCGGCUAACUCCGUAGCCAGCAGCCGC
rnacentral:rRNA from 1 species